rnacentral:rRNA from 1 species
GACGGAGGAUGCAAGCGUUAUCCGGAAUUAUUGGGCGUAAAGCGUACGUAGGCUGUUUGAUAAGUCUGUUGUCAAAGCGCGAGGCUUAACCUUGUAGAGGCAAUGGAAACUGUGAGACUAGAGAGAGAUAGGGGCAGGAGGAAUUCCAGGUGUAGCGGUGAAAUGCGUAGAUAUCUGGAAGAACACCAGUGGCGAAAGCGUCCUGCUGGAUCUCAACUGACGCUGAAGUACGAAAGCUAGGGGAGCGAAUGGGAUUAGAUACCCCAGUAGUCCUAGCCGUAAACGAUGGACACUAGGUGUUGGCCGUAUCGACCCGGUCAGUGCCGUAGCUAACGCGUUAAGUGUCCCGCCUGGGGAGUACGGUCGCAAGAUUGAA